UGCAGUCGAGCGGUAAGGCCCUUCGGGGUACACGAGCGGCGAACGGGUGAGUAACACGUGAGCAACCUGCCCCUGACUCCGGGAUAAGCGGUGGAAACGCCGUCUAAUACCGGAUACGACCCGCCACCUCAUGGUGGAGGGUGGAAAGUUUUUCGGUCAGGGAUGGGCUCGCGGCCUAUCAGCUUGUUGGUGGGGUAACGGCCUACCAAGGCGAUUACGGGUAGCCGGCCUGAGAGGGCGACCGGCCACACUGGGACUGAGACACGGCCCAGACUCCUGCGGGAGGCAGCAGUGGGGAAUAUUGCGCAAUGGGCGAAAGCCUGACGCAGCGACGCCGCGUGGGGGAUGACGGCCUUCGGGUUGUAAACCUCUUUUACCACCAACGCAGGCUCGAAGUUCUCUUCGGGUUGACGGUAGGUGGGGAAUAAGGACCGGCUAACUACGUGCCAGCAGCCGCGGUAAUACGUAGGGUCCGAGCGUUGUCCGGAAUUAUUGGGCGUAAAGAGCUCGUAGGCGGCGUGUCGCGUCUGCUGUGAAAGACCGGGGCUUAACUCCGGUUCUGCAGUGGAUACGGGCAUGCUAGAGGUAGGUAGGGGAGACUGGAAUUCCUGGUGUAGCGGUGAAAUGCGCAGAUAUCAGGAGGAACACCGGUGGCGAAGGCGGGUCUCU
rnacentral:rRNA from 1 species